rnacentral:lncRNA from 1 species
GUUUCAGCAGAAAACAGGUUAAGACAUGCUGCUUUAGAGUACAGGGGAUGUGUAUGGUCGUUUGUUUUGACAAGAGUGGUUCUGAAACCAGUGAAAAAUCCCACCAUGGAAGCUAUUCUAGCGCCAUCAAAAAAGGGCAGGUGCAUCACUGCGACCGCCUACUUGCCAAGUCUCUGCCCGGUUUUUGCCCAGAGUGGUCAUUUCACAUGGAGUCUGGACAAUCCAAACCAGAGCUUAAAUAUUCCUGGAAAGAUGGAAUGUGACCUCUGUUUGGACUAAAGAGAAUCAGAAGAGUAGGGGGCACACAGAGACGUCUGGGCCGCAUGCAGCGUAUGUGAGAAGUCAGGAGGGCUUACACGGCUUGUCAGAAGGGCUACACAAACGGGAAACGUCAAAAGUCUGACAGAAGAGACCAAAGUCAGGGAAAUCUAAAAGCUUCCAGAAGUUGGAUCCAGCAUGGAAGCUGAUAAGAGCCUGAGAACAGAUGCCAAAUAGAAAGGCAUCAUUAUUUUCAAAGGGAAGAGCUGCAGCCACUCAAGGCUAAGCUAUAAUAAAUAUAGAAGAAAGC